CAGUCGCCGCGGUAAUACGAAGGGGGCUAGCGUUGCUCGGAAUGACUGGGCGUAAAGGGCGCGUAGGCGGAUUGUUUAGUUAGGCGUGAAAUUCCUGGGCUUAACCUGGGGACUGCGCUUAAUACAGGCAGUCCAGAGUGAGGAAGAGGGUUGUGGAAUUCCCAGUGUAGAGGUGAAAUUCGUAGAUAUCGGAAGGAACACCUGAGGCGAAAGCGGCUCACUGGACCAUAACUGACGCUGAGGCGCGGAAGCUAGGGGAGCAAACAGGAUUAGAUACCCCAGUAGUCCCUGUCUCUUAUAA
rnacentral:rRNA from 1 species